UUUGCAGAGUCUACCUCCUACUUGGCUGGCUGCCCAACGGAAAUAUCUUGUAGCUGAUUUGCCUUAUUCAAAACCCUUUGGUUUAAACCUUUCAGUCAAAUCUUCCCUUAACCUUUACGUUCUAAUUUUUAAAAUUAUCCCGAUUACCUCUCAUGACUAAGGACAUCCCUGAUAUUAUCUCAGUGAUCUUUUCUGCACUUGAUUUAUUUCCUAAAUCUGCCCAAAGCUGGAAAUAGUAUGUGAACUGAACACAUAAUUUAUCUUGGUUUGAACUCUUUCUGGUUUUGUGCAUUAUAUUGUGAUUUACAAACCCUAGAACUUGUAUUCCUGUCCUACACAAAUGAAAGCCAUGGUCUAUUAUUGAGUGGAAUUCAUAUCUCCCCGUUUUGGCACAAAGGUCAACCCUGUAUCCAGUUUGCAGGUAAAAACUAAUUUCUCUUAACUUGUUUUAUUCCAUCAUGGGAUGUGGUCAUCGCUGGCUGGGUCAGCAUUAAUUGACCAUCUCUAGAUACCCUUGAGAAAGUGGCGGUGAGUUACCUUACUGAACUGCUGCAGUGCAUGCGCUGAAUGGUUGUGAGAAUGGCACGUGAUAAGUUGGGGCGGAAAUCGGCCUUGAGACACAUGAAUUAACGAGACAAAUUUGUUAAGAUACGGCAAGACAACUCAUUAGGCCUUGUGGUGGCAAACCCCCACCCCUCCCAUAAAACUGGACGCCACUCAGAAUUAGCCCUAAUAACCAUAAGAUUCAGCCUACUAUUCCUUAUAAAUUACUCAGGACAGGAAUAAGAUCGGUGCGAAUGGCUGAAAGGGGCAGUUGCUUAAGAUUUCAUCUGAAAGACAACGCCCUCAGUGAAACAGCAUUCCCUCAACACUGCACAGGAGUCUUGAUUUUAGAUUUGAGCCUGGAACGUGAGACUCAGAGGUCAAAAAUGAAGAUUUGGUGGCACGGACAGGAGGUUGCUGUGUCAGGGUCCAAUGGAUGAAAGGGACGGGGAGUAUUUGUGUACAUUGAAAAGAAGAAGUUGAUGCAUCUAUGAUUUCCCAACAGCUUCUGGGUCAAAACCAUACGUUUUCAGACUGUUACCCAUCAGUAUUAUCACUAUGUGCAGUUGUUGGAAGCUGCGCAUAUGUGGAUCUCGCGUGAAAAUAAGGUUGCAUCCAGCUCUGAUGCCUGCUAUGGGGCAAUGACCUCUUAUGGCUUGUACACGGAAAAUAAUUGCUGGGAGUUUAACUAAAAGGAGACGUGUUCAGUACAGUUUACUCCAGUAAGUUAAAAAUGCCUCAGACCUAAUAAGAGGGCAUGCUACACGUGCAAUUGUGAGGGUCUUUAAGUCAGUUACACUGAACAGUCCAAUGCACUUACAUUUAAAUCCAAAAUAAAAUUUGCAUUAAUUAUGUCAUUAAAUUUACAUUUGAAAAUACUUAACAAACGACAGACUUUUUUUUACUCAUGCAGAAACACACUGUUUAUAAGAUGAGAUGGGUUUGAACUCGAGAAUAUGCACAAUUAUCCACACUCAAUUUCAUACGUAAGCCUGCAAAUCAAAAUAUUCACUUCAAACUCACAAAAAAAAUUCCAGAAGGGCAAAGAAAAGAUUGACACAUCAUUAACAACUGUCUCCUCUGAAGACAAAGUAUGUUUGUCCCUAACCCAGUACCUUUUCACUGAGAGAACUGAAUCUCUUCAGUGCAAGGUCAUAACGAAAGAAUCAAUGACGUCAUUAGUCAUGUUUAAACUCCCAAACAUCUUUAAAGUUCUGCUGGGGUUUCAACAAUUCUAUAUUCAUUUCUAACUGCAUUGCAGCCUGGUUCUUAAUCAUACUUGUUACAAAUAUUUGAUCUUCAUAGGCACUGUUAUCCAGACUGUAUUUUUUCUGUGAUGCCAAUUGUCUCCCAAAUACAAUUCUCAAGAAUACAUACUCCUCUCAGUUGCAUGUUUUUCAUAACCUCUUAUUUGUUGCUGUAAACGAAGUAGGUUGCACUAGUAACUGUUUCCUCCAAAUUAUUGAAUAAAAUUUCCACACAUGUUC